GAUGAAGAACGUAGCGAAAUGCGAUAAGUAAUGUGAAUUGCAGAAUUCAGUGAAUCAUCGAAUCUUUGAACGCGCAUUGCGCCCCCUGGUAUUCCGGGGGGCAUGCCUGUUCGAGCGUCAUUUCACCACUCAAGCCUCGCUUGGUAUUGGGCAACGCGGUCCGCCGCGUGCCUCAAAUCGACCGGCUGGGUCUUCUGUCCCCUAAGCGUUGUGGAAACUAUUCGCUAAAGGGUGUUCGGGAGGCUACGCCGUAAAACAACCCCAUUUCUAAGGUUGACCUCGGAUCAGGUAGGGAUACCCGCUGAACUUAAGCAUAUCAAUAACGGAGGA
rnacentral:misc_RNA from 1 species